rnacentral:lncRNA from 1 species
AGCCUCUAUAGCAAAAAGAAUAUGCAAUGGUUGUAUCUGAUGCUAGUGUUAUCAAGAAUGAUUUAUCAACUGUUGAGAAAAAGGUGAGUUCCUCCCUUGUUUGUGUCACCUUGAGAAGAGUCUCCUCACUGCAUUGAACGAGGUCAAGGGUCGUAUCCUAGACAACAACAGAAUCAUUACUGAGCUUCAGACUCUUAAGGAAGAGGCUGCAGAAGUUCAGAGGAAGAUGGAGGAGACUGAUACUGUAAUGGCUGAAUUUGACAGAGUCUCCCAGCAAUACCUGCCUCUCUCCACCUCCUGCUCUGCCAUGUACUUCACUCUGGAGUCACUCAAUCAGGUUGUGGACCUGAGGCUGAACUCAUCAUCUCAAGGACUGAUCUCUCAUUCAUAUACUGAAGAUCUAUAGACUAGGUUUAGGAACUAAGGACUGUAACACUAUAA